rnacentral:tRNA from 5 species
GGCGCAUUCGUCUAGUGGAUUAGGACGCACGGUUCUCAUCCGUGUAACACGGGUUCGACUCCCGUAUGCGCCGCAA